rnacentral:rRNA from 1 species
CCUACGGGAGGCAGCAGUAGGGAAUCUUCGGCAAUGGACGAAAGUCUGACCGAGCAACGCCGCGUGAGUGAAGAAGGUUCUCGGAUCGUAAAACUCUGUUGUUAGAGAAGAACAAGGAUGAGAGUAGAACGUUCAUCCCUUGACGGUAUCUAACCAGAAAGCCACGGCUAACUACGUGCCAGCAGCCGCGGUAAU